rnacentral:rRNA from 1 species
CCUACGGGAGGCAGCAGUGGGGAAUAUUGCACAAUGGGCGAAAGCCUGAUGCAGCGACGCCGCGUGAGGGAUGAAGGCCUUCGGGUUGUAAACCUCUUUCAGCAGGGAAGAAGCGCAAGUGACGGUACCUGCAGAAGAAGCGCCGGCUAACUACGUGCCAGCAGCCGCGGUAAU